AGGCCAGGAGAUCAUCACCAGCUCCUCUGUUCAUCGGCAGGGCCCCGUCUGCUAUUGAGUUCCUCUGGCCCUUGAUAAACUGAAUUAUCACUAACACACACAUGCUGUUGCUUCAACAAGCAGCAGUAUGUUUCCAGGAGCUGCUUGGCUCCCCGUUCUUUAUGAAGCAGCCACAAUGUGUUCUUACUUCCCUGCCCUACUGUGUGAAGGUCAACAAUGUACCAGACAUAGAUGACACGGUGUGAAUGAGACAGCUAAGACUCUUCCCUGGGGAGCUGACCAGCACACCGAGAAAAGAAC